GACGAACGCUGGCGGCGUGCUUAACACAUGCAAGUCGAACGGAAAGGCCCUGCUUUUGUGGGGUGCUCGAGUGGCGAACGGGUGAGUAACACGUGAGUAACCUGCCCUUGACUUUGGGAUAACUUCAGGAAACUGGGGCUAAUACCGGAUAGGAGCUCCUGCUGCAUGGUGGGGGUUGGAAAGUUUCGGCGGUUGGGGAUGGACUCGCGGCUUAUCAGCUUGUUGGUGGGGUAGUGGCUUACCAAGGCUUUGACGGGUAGCCGGCCUGAGAGGGUGACCGGCCACGUUGGGAGUGGGAUGCGGCCCGGACGGCUACGGGAGGCAGCAGUGGGGAAGAGUGCACAAUGGGCGGAAGCCUGAUGCAGCAACGCCGCGUGCGGGAUGACGGCCUUCGGGUUGUAAACCGCUUUCGCCUGUGACGAAGCGUGAGUGACGGUAAUGGGUAAAGAAGCACCGGCUAACUACGUG
rnacentral:rRNA from 1 species